rnacentral:rRNA from 1 species
GACGAACGCUGGCGGCGUGCCUAAUACAUGCAAGUUGAGCGCUGAAGGUUGGUACUUGUACCAACUGGAUGAGCAGCGAACGGGUGAGUAACGCGUGGGGAAUCUGCCUUUGAGCGGGGGACAACAUUUGGAAACGAAUGCUAAUACCGCAUAAAAACUUUAAACACAAGUUUUAAGUUUGAAAGAUGCAAUUGCAUCACUCAAAGAUGAUCCCGCGUUUUAUUAGCUAGUUGGUGAGGUAAAGGCUCACCAAGGCGAUGAUACAUAGCCGACCUGAGAGGGUGAUCGGCCACAUUGGGACUGAGACACGGCCCAAACUCCUACGGGAGGCAGCAGUAGGGAAUCUUCGGCAAUGGACGAAAGUCUGACCGAGCAACGCCGCGUGAGUGAAGAAGGUUUUCGGAUCGUAAAACCCUGUUGGUAGAGAAGAACGUUGGUGAGAGUGGAAAGCUCAUCAAGUGACGGUAACUACCCAGAAAGGGACGGCUAACUACGUG